CCUACGGGAGGCAGCAGUGAGGAAUAUUGGUCAAUGGACGAGAGUCUGAACCAGCCAAGUAGCGUGAAGGAUGACUGCCCUAUGGGUUGUAAACUUCUUUUAUAUGGGAAUAAAACGUUCCACGUGUGGGAUUUUGUAUGUACCAUAUGAAUAAGGAUCGGCUAACUCCGUGCCAGCAGCCGCGGUAAUACGGAGGAUCCGAGCGUUAUCCGGAUUUAUUGGGUUUAAAGGGAGCGUAGGUGGAUUGUUAAGUCAGUUGUGAAAGUUUGCGGCUCAACCGGAAAAUUGCAGUUGAAACUGGCAGUCUUGAGUACAGUAGAGGUGGGCGGAAUGCGUGGUGUAGCGGUGAAAUGCUUAGAUAUCACGAAGAACUCCGAUUGCGAAGGCAGUUCACUGGACUGCAACUGACACUGAGGCUCGAAAGUGUGGGUAUCAAACAGGAUUAGAUACCCCUGUAGUC
rnacentral:rRNA from 1 species